rnacentral:rRNA from 1 species
UACGUAGGGUGCAAGCGUUGUCCGGAAUUAUUGGGCGUAAAGAGCUCGUAGGCGGUUUGUCGCGUCUGCUGUGAAAACUCGGGGCUCAACCCCGAGCUUGCAGUGGGUACGGGCAGACUAGAGUGCGGUAGGGGAGACUGGAAUUCCUGGUGUAGCGGUGGAAUGCGCAGAUAUCAGGAGGAACACCGGUGGCGAAGGCGGGUCUCUGGGCCGUAACUGACGCUGAGACGCGAAAGCGUGGGGAGCAAACAGG